UACGUAUGGUGCAAGCGUUAUCCGGAUUUACUGGGCGUAAAGGGAGCGCAGGCGGUGCGCCAAGUCUGAUGUGAAACCCCGGGGCUCAACCCCGGGCAUGCAUUGGAAACUGGCGGGCUGGAGUGCCGGAGAGGUAAGCGGAAUUCCUAGUGUAGCGGUGAAAUGCGUAGAUAUUAGGAGGAACACCAGUAGCGAAGGCGGCUUACUGGACGGCAACUGACGCUGAGGCUCGAAAGCGUGGGGAGCAAACAGG
rnacentral:rRNA from 1 species